UACGGAGGGGGCUAGCGUUGUUCGGAAUUACUGGGCGUAAAGCGCACGUAGGCGGCUUUGUAAGUUAGAGGUGAAAGCCCAGGGCUUAACCCUGGAAUUGCCUUUAAGACUGCAUCGCUAGAAUCGUGGAGAGGUGAGUGGAAUUCCGAGUGUAGAGGUGAAAUUCGUAGAUAUUCGGGAAGAACACCAGUGGCGAAGGCGGCUAACU
rnacentral:rRNA from 1 species